GGUCAAGCGAAUAAGCGCACACGGUGGAUGCCUAGGCGGUCAGAGGCGAUGAAGGACGUGGUAGCCUGCGAAAAGUGUCGGGGAGCUGGCAACAAGCUUUGAUCCGGCAAUAUCCGAAUGGGGAAACCCACUGCUUCGGCAGUAUCUUGCAGUGAAUUCAUAGCUGCUUGAAGCGAACCCGGUGAACUGAAAUAUCUAAGUAACCGGAGGAAAAGAAAUCAACCGAGAUUCCCUGAGUAGUGACGAGCGAACGGGGAACAGCCCUUAAGCUGGAAUGGCUUUAGAAAAACAAUCUGGAAAGAUUGGCCAUAGAAGGUGAUAGCCCUGUAUUUAAAAGGGCCACUCCAGUGAAGACGAGUAGGGCGGGGCACGUGAAACCCUGUCUGAAUAUGGGGGGACCAUCCUCCAAGGCUAAAUACUCCUGACCGACCGAUAGUGAACCAGUACCGUGAGGGAAAGGCGAAAAGAACCCCGGAGAGGGGAGUGAAAUAGAUCCUGAAACCGUGUGCGUACAAGCAGUAGGAGCUCGCAAGAGUGACUGCGUACCUUUUGUAUAAUGGGUCAGCGACUUACUGUUCGUGGCAAGCUUAACCGUAUAGGGGAGGCGAAGGGAAACCGAGUCUGAUAAGGGCGCAUAGUCGCGGGCAGUAGACCCGAAACCGGGUGAUCUAGUCAUGGCCAGGGUGAAGGUGCCGUAACAGGUACUGGAGGCCCGAACCCACGUCUGUUGCAAAAGACGGGGAUGAGCUGUGAUUAGGAGUGAAAAGCUAAUCGAACCCGGAGAUAGCUGGUUCUCCUCGAAAGCUAUUUAGGUAGCGCCUCGGACGAAUACUACUGGGGGUAGAGCACUGUUAUGGCUAGGGGGUCAUCGCGACUUACCAAACCAUUGCAAACUCCGAAUACCAGUACGUACUAUCCGGGAGACACACGGCGGGUGCUAACGUCCGUCGUGAAAAGGGAAACAACCCAGACCCACAGCUAAGGUCCCAAAUUCACUGCUAAGUGGAAAACGAUGUGGAAAGGCAUAGACAGCCAGGAGGUUGGCUUAGAAGCAGCCACCCUUUAAAGAAAGCGUAAUAGCUCACUGGUCGAGUCGGUCUGCGCGGAAGAUUUAACGGGGCUAAGCAGUGAACCGAAGCUUGGGGUGCGUAAAACUUCGGUUUUAUGCGCGGUAGAGGAGCGUUCCGUAAGCCUGCGAAGGUGGAUUGAGAAGUCUGCUGGAGGUAUCGGAAGUGCGAAUGCUGACAUGAGUAACGAUAAUGCGGGUGAAAAGCCCGCACGCCGAAAGCCCAAGGUUUCCUUGCGCAACGUUAAUCGACGCAGGGUUAGUCGGUCCCUAAGGCGAGGGCGAAAGCCGUAGUCGAUGGGAAACAGGUUAAUAUUCCUGCACCUCGCGUGAGUGCGAUGGAGGGACGGAGAAGGUUAGGUGUACCGGGCGUUGGUUGUCCCGGGGAAAGGCGGUAGGUUUGGAUCUUUGGCAAAUCCGGGAUCCUUUAAGACCGAGCACCGAGACGAGCCUUUAUGGCGAAGUCACUGAUACCACGCUUCCAGGAAAAGCUCCUAAGCUUCAGCUCACGAAGACCGUACCGUAAACCGACACAGGUGGGUAGGAUGAGAAUUCUCAGGCGCUUGAGAGAACUCGGGUGAAGGAACUAGGCAACAUGGCACCGUAACUUCGGGAGAAGGUGCACCCUUUUUGGUGGCUCAUGCGAGCUAUAGCUGAAGAGGGUCGCAGAAACCAGGCCGCUGCGACUGUUUAUCAAAAACACAGCACUCUGCAAACACGAAAGUGGACGUAUAGGGUGUGACGCCUGCCCGGUGCUGGAAGGUUAAUUGAUGGGGUCAGCCGCAAGGCGAAGCUCUUGAUCGAAGCCCCAGUAAACGGCGGCCGUAACUAUAACGGUCCUAAGGUAGCGAAAUUCCUUGUCGGGUAAGUUCCGACCUGCACGAAUGGCGUAACGACAGCGGCGCUGUCUCCACCCGAGACUCAGUGAAAUUGAAAUCGCUGUGAAGAUGCAGCGUUCCCGUGGCAAGACGGAAAGACCCCGUGAACCUUUACUAUAGCUUUACACUGAACGUUGAGUUCGUCUGUGUAGGAUAGGUGGGAGGCUAUGAAACUGUGGCGCUAGCUGCAGUGGAGCCAACCUUGAAAUACCACCCUGUCGUGCUUGACGUUCUAACCUAGAUCCGUUAUCCGGAUCAGGGACCGUGUAUGGUGGGUAGUUUGACUGGGGCGGUCUCCUCCUAAAGAGUAACGGAGGAGCACGAAGGUACGCUCAGCGCGGUCGGACAUCGCGCACUGUGUGCAAAGGCAUAAGCGUGCUUGACUGCAAGAUCGACGGAUCAAGCAGGUACGAAAGUAGGUCUUAGUGAUCCGGUGGUUCUGUAUGGAAGGGCCAUCGCUCAACGGAUAAAAGGUACUCCGGGGAUAACAGGCUGAUACCGCCCAAGAGUUCAUAUCGACGGCGGUGUUUGGCACCUCGAUGUCGGCUCAUCACAUCCUGGGGCUGUAGUCGGUCCCAAGGGUAUGGCUGUUCGCCAUUUAAAGUGGUACGCGAGCUGGGUUCAGAACGUCGUGAGACAGUUCGGUCCCUAUCUGCCAUGGGCGUUGGAAGUUUGAGAGGGGCUGCUCCUAGUACGAGAGGACCGGAGUGGACGAACCUCUGGUGUUCCGGUUGUCACGCCAGUGGCAUUGCCGGGUAGCUAUGUUCGGAAGCGAUAACCGCUGAAAGCAUCUAAGCGGGAAGCGCGCCUCAAGAUGAGACUUCCCGGGGCACAAGCCCCCUAAAGGAACCAUAUAGACUAUGUGGUUGAUAGGUCAGGUGUGUAAGUACAGCAAUGUAUUGAGCUAACUGAUACUAAUGAUCCGUGCGGCUUGACCAU
rnacentral:rRNA from 1 species